rnacentral:rRNA from 1 species
GUAGGGUCCAAGCGUUAAUCGGAAUUACUGGGCGUAAAGCGUGCGCAGGCGGUUGUGCAAGACCGAUGUGAAAUCCCCGGGCUUAACCUGGGAAUUGCAUUGGUGACUGCACGGCUAGAGUGUGUCAGAGGGGGGUAGAAUUCCACGUGUAGCAGUGAAAUGCGUAGAGAUGUGGAGGAAUACCGAUGGCGAAGGCAGCCCCCUGGGAUAACACUGACGCUCAUGCACGAAAGCGUGGGGGGAGCAAACAGGAUUAGAUACCCUGGUAGUCCACGCCCUAAACGAUGUCAACUAGUUGUUGGGGAUUCAUUUCCUUAGUAACGUAGCUAACGCGUGAAGUUGACCGCCUGGGGAGUACGGUCGCAAGAUUA